rnacentral:miRNA from 1 species
CGUGGCAAAGGUGCUGCGAUGCG